rnacentral:rRNA from 1 species
AUUGAACGCCGGCGGCAUGCCUUACACAUGCAAGUCGAACGGCAGCACGGGAGCAAUCCUGGUGGCGAGUGGCGAACGGGUGAGUAAUACGUCGGAACGUGCCCAGUAGUGGGGGAUAGCCCGGCGAAAGCCGGAUUAAUACCGCAUACGACCUACGGGUGAAAGCGGGGGACCGCAAGGCCUCGCGCUAUUGGACCGGCCGAUGUCAGAUUAGGUUGUUGGUGGGGUAAAAGCCCACCAAGCCGACGAUCUGUAGCUGGUCUGAGAGGACGACCAGCCACACUGGGACUGAGACACGGCCCAGACUCCUACGGGAGGCAGCAGUGGGGAAUUUUGGACAAUGGGCGCAAGCCUGAUCCAGCCAUGCCGCGUGUGGGAAGAAGGCCUUCGGGUUGUAAACCACUUAUGUCAGGGAAGAAACGGCUCUUACUAAUAUUAGGGGCUAAUGACGGUACCUGAAGAAUAAGCACCGGCUAACUACGUGCCAGCCGCCGCUGUAA